UACGUAGGGUGCAAGCGUUUGUCCGGAAUUAUUGGGCGUAAGGGCGCGUAGGCGGUGCGGUAGUCACCUGUGAAAACUCUGGGCUCAACUCAGAGCCUGCAGGCGAAACUGCCGUGCUGGAGUGUGGGAGAGGUGCGUGGAAUUCCCGGUGUAGCGGUGAAAUGCGUUAGAUAUCGGGAGGAACACCUGUGGCGAAAGCGGCGCACUGGACCACAACUGACGCUGAGGCGCGAAAGCUAGGGGAGCAAACAGG
rnacentral:rRNA from 1 species